GCCCCAAUAGCUCAAUGGAUAGAGCAAGGCUCUCCUAAAGCCGAGAUCUGGGUUCGAGUCCCGGUUGGGGUA
rnacentral:tRNA from 1 species